UACGUAGGGUGCAGGCGUUAAUCGGAAUUACUGGGCGUAAAGCGUGCGCAGGCGGUUUCUUAAGUCAGAUGUGAAAGCCCCGGGCUUAACCUGGGAACUGCGUUUGAAACUGGGAGACUUGAGUGUGGCAGAGGGGGGUGGAAUUCCACGUGUAGCAGUGAAAUGCGUAGAUAUGUGGAGGAACACCGAUGGCGAAGGCAGCCCCCUGGGUUAACACUGACGCUCAUGCACGAAAGCGUGGGGAG
rnacentral:rRNA from 2 species